rnacentral:rRNA from 1 species
CCUACGGGUGGCUGCAGUGGGGAAUUUUCCGCAAUGGGGGCAACCCUGACGGAGCAAGACCGCGUGGGGGAAGAAGGUUUGUGGAUUGUAAACCCCUUUUGAUUGGGAAGAAGACAAUGACGGUACCAAUCGAAUCAGCAUCGGCUAACUCCGUGCCAGCAGCCGCGGUAAUACGGAGGAUGCAAGCGUUAUCCGGAAUUAUUGGGCGUAAAGCGUCCGUAGGUGGUGGAGCAAGUCAGCUGUCAAAGCAUGGAGCUUAACUCCAUAAGGGCAGU